GAUGAACGCUGGCGGCGUGCCUAAUACAUGCAAGUCGAGCGAACAGACGAGGAGCUUGCUCCUCUGACGUUAGCGGCGGACGGGUGAGUAACACGUGGAUAACCUACCUAUAAGACUGGGAUAACUUCUGGAAACCGGAGCUAAUACCGGAUAAUAUAUUGAACCGCAUGGUUCAAUAGUGAAAGACGGUUUUGCUGUCACUUAUAGAUGGAUCCGCGCCGCAUUAGCUAGUUGGGAAGGUAACGGCUUACCAAGGCAACGAUGCGUAGCCGACCUGAGAGGGGAAUCGGCCACAAUGGAACUGAGACAAGGUCCAGACUCCUACGGGAGGCAGCAGUAGGGAAUCUUCCGCAAUGGGCGAAAGCCUGACGGAGCAACGCCGCGUGAGUGAUGAAGGUCUUCGGAUCGUAAAACUCUGUUAUUAGGGAAGAACAAAUGUGUAAGUAACUAUGCACGUCUUGACGGUUCCUAAUCAGAAAGCCACGGCUAACUACGUG
rnacentral:rRNA from 1 species